AUUGAACGCUGGCGGCAUGCUUUACACAUGCAAGUCGAACGGUAACAGGUCUUCGAAUGCUGACGAGUGGCGAACGGGUGAGUAAUACAUCGGAACGUGCCUAGUAGUGGGGGAUAACUACUCGAAAGAGUAGCUAAUACCGCAUGAGAUCUACGGAUGAAAGCAGGGGACCUUCGGGCCUUGUGCUACUAGAGUGGCUGAUGGCAGAUUAGGUAGUUGGUGGGGUAAAGGCUUACCAAGCCUGCGAUCUGUAGCUGGUCUGAGAGGACGACCAGCCACACUGGGACUGAGACACGGCCCAGACUCCUACGGGAGGCAGCAGUGGGGAAUUUUGGACAAUGGGCGAAAGCCUGAUCCAGCAAUGCCGCGUGCAGGAUGAAGGCCCUCGGGUUGUAAACUGCUUUUGUACGGAACGAAAAGCCUGGGGCUAAUAUCCCCGGGUCAUGACGGUACCGUAAGAAUAAGCACCGGCUAACUACGUGCCAGCAGCCGCCGUAACAC
rnacentral:rRNA from 1 species